CCAGCUUCAGUUCCUCUCCUCACAGCCUAGCUUGUUCUCUACCCUGGCUGCCAUCUAGGAUGAGUGGCUGGCUCAGACCCUAGUGUCAGCGCCCUAAUCCCCACCGGGCCAGGCACCGGUGCUGUGUUGUGCGGGCACGCUCUCUGGAAGUUUCUACAUCCAGAAACUUCCACCAUCGAAACAGUCUGGGACAAAAUACGAAUAUAUUUGGGUCGUGCAUUGCAGCAUUAGGAAGGCUGAAAACCACUGUUGUAUAAAAAACGCAGUUUUCAUAUUCUGGAGGUGGUGAGUGAGCGGUUGUCACUUGGGCUGGAAUGCAGGGUACACCACUUAGUCAUGUC
rnacentral:lncRNA from 1 species